rnacentral:rRNA from 1 species
AUUGAACGCUGGCGGCAGGCCUAACACAUGCAAGUCGAGCGGAUGAAGGGAGCUUGCUCCUGGAUUCAGCGGCGGACGGGUGAGUAAUGCCUAGGAAUCUGCCUGGUAGUGGGGGAUAACGUCCGGAAACGGGCGCUAAUACCGCAUACGUCCUGAGGGAGAAAGUGGGGGAUCUUCGGACCUCACGCUAUCAGAUGAGCCUAGGUCGGAUUAGCUAGUUGGUGGGGUAAAGGCCUACCAAGGCGACGAUCCGUAACUGGUCUGAGAGGAUGAUCAGUCACACUGGAACUGAGACACGGUCCAGACUCCUACGGGAGGCAGCAGUGGGGAAUAUUGGACAAUGGGCGAAAGCCUGAUCCAGCCAUGCCGCGUGUGUGAAGAAGGUCUUCGGAUUGUAAAGCACUUUAAGUUGGGAAGAAGGGCAGUAAGUUAAUACCUUGCUGUUUUGACGGUACCAACAGAAUAAGCACCGGCUAACUUCGUG